rnacentral:rRNA from 1 species
GACGAACGCUGGCGGCGUGCUUAACACAUGCAAGUCGAACGGAAAGGCCUCUUUCGGGGGGUACUCGAGUGGCGAACGGGUGAGUAACACGUGAGUAACCUGCCCUUGACUUUGGGAUAACUUCAGGAAACUGGGGCUAAUACCGGAUAGGAGCUCCUGCUGCAUGGUGGGGGUUGGAAAGUUUCGGCGGUUGGGGAUGGACUCGCGGCUUAUCAGCUUGUUGGUGGGGUAGUGGCUUACCAAGGCUUUGACGGGUAGCCGGCCUGAGAGGGUGACCGGCCACAUUGGGACUGAGAUACGGCCCAGACUCCGACGGGAGGCAGCAGGGGGGAAUAUUGCACAAGGGGUGGAAGCCUGAUGCAGCAACGCCGUGGGCGGGAUGACGGCCUUCGGGUUGUAAACCGCUUUCGCUCAUGACGAAGCUUUGUGUGACGGUAGUGGGUAAAGAAGCACCGGCUAACUACGUG